UGAUCGGGCACCUUGUUGUGAUAGAAGUCAGUGUCUUCAGUUCGACAACAACACGUUAAUAUAGAUGUGGGUUGGUUAUAUUUUGAGAUUGAUUUACAACUGGCACACAUAAGUUGACAGUUAAUGCAUAAAGAGUGUAGUUUCUAUAACAUCAAAUAUGAGGUCUAUACACAAUCAAAUUACAUGCAUGAAGAUAACUUGGAGGCAAUGGUGUCAUACAAGUUUAAUAGUUUUAACUAUGAUAGCCUUACUGAAAUUUGAAAAAAGUAAUCAAAGAAAAAGAGUGACCACUUCUGUCUUAUGAAGAUCAACAUAUAUACAAGGAAAUUGCCAGACAAUGUGUAACCAUGUAUGAGGAUAGCUUUAGAUAUAUACAUGAAAAGAAAGUGAAAUCAAUGUUUUUAAGAUAAAAUCUUGAUGACAUAUAACAAAAAUAUAACAGUGUUGAAUAUGAAAACCCCAUGGCAUGUCACAUGUAACUUUGGAAUGCAGCAGUUUUCAGUAUGACA